rnacentral:rRNA from 1 species
GUCUGUUUGAUUAUACAAACAGUCUAACCUGCCCACUGAGUAUUUUAAAGGCCGCGGUACACUGACCGUGCGAAGGUAGCACAAUAAUUAGUCUUUUAAUUGAAGACCGGAAUGAAAGGUUGGACAAGAAACAUACUGUCUCUGCCAUAAAUAUUGAACUUAACUUUUAAGUGAAAAGGCUUAAAUAUCCUGGAGGGACGACAAGACCCUAUAAAACUUCAUACACACAUAGAGCACGCUAUCAAUUAUCUGUAAAAAAUAGCUUACUCUCUUGUGUAUUACGUUGGGGAGACGAGAGUACAAUAAAUAACUACCCUCCACUUAAACAAUAAUAUUUGAUCUUCAUCCUUGAUCCUUUUCUAAAGAUUAAAAGAAAAAGUUACUUUAGGGAUAACAGCGUUAUUUCUUUUAAGAGUCCAUAUCGACAAAGAAGAUUGCGACCUCGAUGUUGAAUUAAUAUUUCUCCCUAUGGUGCAGCAACCAUUGGGGAAGGUCUGUUCGACCUUUAAAAUUUUACAUGAUUUGAGUUCAAACCGGUGCAAG